GCCGACAUAGUUCAGUGGUAGAACACUCCCUUGGUAAGGGAGAGGUCAAGGGUCCAAUUCCCUUUGUCGGCU
rnacentral:tRNA from 1 species